rnacentral:rRNA from 1 species
CACAGGGAUUGCCUCAGUAACGGCGAGUGAAGCGGCAAAAGCUCAAAUUUGAAAUCUGGUAGUUUUUAACUGCUCGAGUUGUAAUUUGAAGAGCUUAACCUUGGGCACAGGCUCUGUCUAUGUUUCUUGGAACAGGACGUCACAGAGGGUGAGAAUCCCGUGAGGUGGGGCUAUUGUGUUCUUGUAGGUUUUGUUCGACGAGUCGAGUUGUUUGGGAAUGCAGCUCUAAGUGGGUGGUAAAUUCCAUCUAAAGCUAAAUAUUGGCGAGAGACCGAUAGCGAACAAGUACAGUGAUGGAAAGAUGAAAAGAACUUUGAAAAGAGAGUGAAAAAGUACGUGAAAUUGUUGAAAGGGAAGGGCAUUAGAUGAGACUUGGUAAUUCAGGCACAUCCUCCUCUUGUAGGGGGUGCACUCCUGAUAUUACUGGGCCAGCAUCGAUUCGCGCGGUGGGAUAAUGCUUCUUGAAUGUGGCUACAUUUUUUGUGUAGUGUUAUAGCUUGGAGAGAUACUGCCAGUGUGGAUCGAGGCUUGCGUCUUUUUAGACUAGGAUGCUGGCGUAAUGAUCUAAUGUCGCCCGUCUUGAAACACGGACCAAGGAGUCUAACGUCUAUGCGAGUGUUUGGGUGUAAAACCCGUACGCGUAAUGAAAGUGAAUGCAGAUGGGAGUGAGUAAAAUCAUGCACCAUCGACCGAUCCUGAAGUUUUCAGAUGGAUUUGAGUAAGAGCAUAGCUGUUGGGACCCGAAAGAUGGUGAACUAUGCCUGAAUAGGGUGAAGCCAGAGGAAACUCUGGUGGAGGCUCGUAGCGGUUCUGACGUGCAAAUCGAUCGUCGAAUUUGGGUAUAGGGGCGAAAGACUAAUCGAACCAUCUAGUAGCUGGUUCCUGCC